rnacentral:rRNA from 1 species
AUUGAACGCUGGCGGCAGGCUUAACACAUGCAAGUCGAACGAGUGGCGGACGGGUGAGUAAUGCUUGGGAAACUGCCUGAUGGAGGGGGAUAACGACGGGAAACGGUCGCUAAUACCGCAUACCAUAAGAUGUGCCCAAGGGGGAUUAGGUGGUUGGUGGGGUAAUGGCUUACCAAGGCGACGAUCCCUAGCUGGUCUGAGAGGAUGACCAGCCACACGGGGACUGAGACACGGUCCGGACUCCUACGGGAGGCAGCAGUGGGGAAUAUUGCGCAAUGGGGGCAACCCUGACGCAGCCAUGCCACGUGAAUGAAGAAGGCCUUCGGGUUGUAAAGUACUUUCAGCGAGGAGGCGUUACCCACAGAAGAAGCACCGGCUAACUCCGUGCCAGCAGCCGCGGUAAUAC